rnacentral:rRNA from 1 species
GACGAAGGGGGCUAGCGUUGUUCGGAAUUACUGGGCGUAAAGGGCGCGCAGGCGGCUCUACAAGUUAGGCGUUAAAGACCCAGGCUCAACCUGGGGAAUGCGCUUGAUACUGUGGGGCUAGAGAUCGGAAGAGGAGAGUGGAAUUCCCAGUGUAGAGGUGAAAUGCGUAGAUAUUGGGAAGAACACCAGUGGCGAAGGCGGCUCACUGGCUCGAUACUGACGCUGAGGUGCGAAAGCGUGGGGAGCAAACAGG